CGCGAUUCGCCCUUCGGGGUGCAGCAGGCGCGAAAACUUUCAAUGCGGGAAACCGUGAUAAGGGGACACCGAGUGCCAGCAUCAUAUGCUGGCUGUCCAGGUGUGUAAAAUACACCUGUCAGCAAGGGCCGGGCAAGACCGGUGCCAGCCGCGGUAACACCGGCGGCCCGAGUGGUGAUCGUGAUUAUUGGGUCUAAAGGGUCCGUAGCCGGUUUGGUCAGUCCUCCCGGAAAUCUGACGGCUCAACCGUUAGGCUUUCGGGGGAUACUGCCAGGCUUGGAACCGGGAGAAGUAAAAGGUACUACAGGGGUAGGAGUGAAAUCUUGUAAUCCCUGUGAGACCACCUGUGGCGAAGGCGUCUUACCAGAACGGGUUCGACGGUGAGGGACGAAAGCUGGGGGCACGAACCGGAUUAGAUACCCGGGUAGUCCCAGCCGUAAACGAUGCUCGCUAGGUGUCAGGCAUGGCGCGACCGUGUCUGGUGCCGCAGGGAAGCCGUGAAGCGAGCCACCUGGGAAGUACGGCCGCAAGGCUGAAACUUAAAGGAAUUGGCGGGGGAGCAC
rnacentral:rRNA from 1 species